rnacentral:tRNA from 1 species
CGGGGUGUCGUAUAAUGGUAGUACGCAAGGCUGGGGGUCUUGUAGCCCGGGUUCGAUUCCCGGCACCCCGACUA